CUCUCUCUCCCCCCCUACGCUGGCUGCUGCCGCUGCAGACUGCACGCACCCUAAAGCAGCGAGCCUUUCCACCUCUCCUCUCCUCUCCUCUCCCUGCCACCCCACCCACACACCACCGCCACCACCCCGCCUCGGCCUCGGCUGCGGCGCCCUGUGUCUCCGCCUCUCCGGAGCGGGAGCGGCCGCCGCCGCCCGCCGCCGCCAUGUCCGGGCUGUACGGCCAGCAGGGGUUCUCCCCUUCCAGGAACCUAUCCCCCCAGAUUAGAAGCAACCCAGAUGUCGAUAGGUAGAGGCGGCGCACGGAUUUUUCUUGGUUUCUUUGCUUGUUUCUUGGCCAAUUCGUGGUGGCAAGAUUGGUUUUUUAUUUAUUAUUAUCGUGCGCUGUGUUUUCUUUUCUUCCUGUUGGGUUUGGUCGCUUUGAUGGGUGAAUGGAGAUGGUGAUGUGAUUGCUCUGUAAUUAAUGGUUUUGUGCAGCCAGUACUUGGCCGAGCUGCUCGCCGAGCACCAGAAGCUGGGGCCUUUCAUGCAGGUGCUGCCCAUAUGCAGCAAGCUGCUGAGCCAAGAGAUUAUGCGGGUGUCAAACUCUGCCCACAACCCUGGAUUCAGUGAUUUCGAUAGACAUCGAUUCAGAAGUCCUAGUCCAAUGUCUUCACCAAAUCCAAGAUCCAAUCUCUCUGGCAAUGGGUUUAGUCCUUGGAAUGGACUGCACCAAGAGAGGUUAGGUUUUCCUCAAGGAAAUAGUAUGGAUUGGCAAGGAGCGCCACCAAGCCCUAGCUCUCAUGUCAUGAAGAAGAUUCUACGCUUGGAGGUCCCAGUUGAUUCUUAUCCGAGUUUCAAUUUUGUGGGACGUAUUCUAGGACCUAGAGGCAAUUCUCUAAAGCGGGUAGAAGCAUCUACUGGUUGUCGCGUUUUCAUCAGAGGAAAGGGUUCCAUCAAAGAUCCAGGGAAGGAGGACAAGCUGCGAGGAAAACCAGGCUAUGAGCAUCUGAGUGAACAACUUCAUAUCUUGAUAGAGGCUGAGUUCCCAGCCAAUAUUAUUGAUGCCAGAUUGAGACAUGCACAGGAAAUUCUAGAAGAACUGCUAAAGCCAGUGGAUGAGACACAGGAUAUCUACAAGAGGCAACAGCUCCGGGAGCUGGCUAUGCUAAACUCAACCCUGCGAGAGGACAGCCCUCAUCCGGGGAGCGUCUCCCCAUUCAGCAAUGGUGGCAUGAAGCGUGCGAAAACAGGCCAGUAGGGAAGGAGCCACCCCUCAUCGUUACCGGUAUUGUCCAGGUGCCUUAUGUGCCCCCCAAUGGGGACGCCAUGUCUCCGGGCAACGUUUGCCGCGGGCGCACUUGAAGGAAGCGACGCCCUGCAUUUCGCUAGACGAGUCAGUAUGAGUCUGCGGUCUCUCCUGCGGACAAGGAGAAGCCGCUGGGACAGUGGAAGUAGUAGAGUCCUGGGUCGGUGGGUCGGCCCAGCUUUGGUUGCUGUAAGGUCCUAGAACAUUCGCUUUAUUUGUUAAUUGACUGUUAACCCUAGUAAUGUGGUGCUAUGAUGGUAGGUGAUCUCCAUGACAGACAGACUAGAGAGGCCCGAGUAUGUGAGCUUUCAUGUUUUCCUUUUCACCCCCUGUUAGGCGUCGGAACUUCCUUGUAUAUUAUCCACCCUUCUGCAUUAUGGAGUCGCGGAUAAUAAUAAAAAAGGGUAUAAGGAUCAUCAGCUUGUGCCUUGUGGAGUUGUCGUGUCUGGUUCAGACCGUGGAGGUUUCGAACCGACAAAGUCGAAGUCUGGUUUUUAAUGUCAUCAGUGUUCAUGGAUCUUUGUGGUUUAUAUUGUUGAACUGUGAUGAAUUUGUUGCAGUUUUGGGUUCUGGCAUGUUUGUUUGCCUCUGCUUGGCAUCACAGAUGGGAUGUUACUGCUGGGAAUCCCGUGGGAGACGUUUGCCGCGGUAA
rnacentral:rRNA from 1 species